AUCAUACUCCCUCCGUCCGGAAAUACUUGUCCUGGAAGUAGAUGUAUCUAGACUAAUUUUAGUUAUAGAUACAUCCAUUUUGUACAUUUCCAGGACAAGUAUUUCCGGACGGAGGGAGUACAUG
rfam:Hordeum vulgare subsp. vulgare, WGS project CAJW01000000 data, contig: morex_contig_83396